rnacentral:rRNA from 1 species
ACCCGCUGAAUUUAAGCAUAUAACUAAGCGGAGGAAAAGAAACUAACAAGGAUUCCCCUAGUAAGGGCGACUGAAGCGGGAUCAGCCCAGAUUGUAAACUGACCUUAAUCAAGGUUGGGUUGUAGUCUAAAGAGGCGACGCCAGGCAAGGUCCGGGGAGAAGUCCCUUGGAACAGGGCAUCGGAGAGGGUGACAAUCCCGUCUGUGCCUCGGACCGCGUCGUACGGUGCGUCUUCGACGAGUCGGUUUGCUUGGGAUUGCAGACCAAACGGGUGGUAAAUUCCAUCUAAGGCUAAAUACGGGUGGGAGACCGAUAGCGAACAAGUACCGUGAGGGAAAGAUGCAAAGAACUUUGAAAAGAGAGUUAAAAAGGGCCUGAAACUGGUAAGAGGGAACCGAACGGCAGAAGUGGUGAUGGGCGCGUAUUUUCCGCCGGGCUCUUGGCCGGCGUACUUGUGCGCGUCCGUAGGUCAGCGUGGGUUGGGGCGUGGGAGUCGUUCAUGGGAAGGUCUUCGGGCCAAUCUCGUGUUCAGGCCGCGCCUGAGACCUUCGGUGACGAAAUUCUUCCGUUCACCCCGUCUUGAAACACGGACCAAGGAGUCUAAAAUACGAGCGAGUGCGCCGGUGGCAACCCGGGGCGCGUAAUGAAAGUGAGACCGACGGUGGGAGGGCUUUACGUCCGCACCAUCAACCGACCAGGAUCCUUCGGGUGAAAGGUUUGAGUGUAGCUUGUAUUUUGGGACCCGAAAGAUGGUGAACUAUGCCUGAAUAGGGCGAAGCCAGGGGAAACUCUGGUGGAGGCUCGUAGCGAUUCUGACGUGCAAAUCGAUCGUCAAAUUUGGGUAUAGGGGCGAAAGACUAAUCGAACCAUCUAGUAGCUGGUUCCCUCCGAAAUUUCCCUCAGGAUAGCAGCAAUCGAAGAGUUUUAUCAGGUAAAGCGAAUGAUUAGAGGCCUCAGGGGUGGAACGUCCUUGACCUAUUCUCAAACUUUAAAUGGGUGAGAGCCAGGGGUUGCUUAAGUGAACCCCUCGGUCGAAUCGCGGUUGCUAGUGGGCCACCCGGGGUAAGCUCGGUUGGCGAUGCGGGAUGAUCCGAACGUCGAGUUAAAGUGCCUCACUGCCCGCUCACCUAGAUCCCACAAAAGGUGUUGGUUCAUUUAGACAGCAGGACGGUGGCCAUGGAAGUCGGAACCCGCUAAGGAGUGUGUAACAACUCACCUGCCGAAUGGAUUAGCCCUGAAAAUGGAUGGCGCUGAAGCGAGCGACUUAUACUCGACCAUCACGGCAAGUGCGACGCCGUGAUGAGUAGGAGGGCGUGGGGCUCGUGGCGCAUCCCGCGGCGUGAGCCGGGGUGAAACGGGCUCUAGUGCAGAUCUUGGUGGUAGUAGC